UUGGUUUUGGCCGAUCCUUGAUGAAAAUCUGUUUAAAUUGUGGUUAAGGGGUGUUUUUUUUGGCAAAAAGAGGGGAAAAACAAAUGCUUACUAGUAGUUUUGGUCCUUCAGUGUAGCAGCUCAGUCGAGCUUCGUCGUUCCUUCCUCAUAGUUUAUGGCUUCUCUCGGUUACCCUACAUUAAAACACAUUAGAUGACCAACGAUAGAGAAAUGGCAAGAACUUGAUGGAUUUCGGUCUAUCAGAGUGUUUUUGGUAUUCUGGCACGGUGGCGCCGACAUUCCUCUGAC
rnacentral:lncRNA from 1 species